AUGGUUUUUGACUUGCAGGAAUUUGAAGAAGUAACGCACAGGAGUUGCACUGGCCUUUGGUUCCAGCAGUCGGGGCCGAUCAAAGACCUCAGUGUGUGUGAUGACUCUGGCCACUCAUUUCUACUUGGACUUGCUCGAGGACCACAUGCAGGGUUCACAGGACGGUACCAAGUCAUUCAUGAGGGACCUGCCUCCAAGACUCAAACACCUCCCACCAGGUUCUACCUCCACCACUGGGGAUCACAUUUCAACAUGAGAUUUGGAGGGGACAAACAUCCCAACUAUAUCACCUGCCAAGUAAGAUGGGGACACCUAAGGGGGAAGGGGGCACAGAGAGGGCAGUUGGGGGUGCCACAGACAAAUCUCACCCAUUCCUGACUGGCCCUACUUGGGACUGGCCUGACCAAAGCCUACCAAAUCCCCAGGAUGCUGGCCUGUCCCCUGCCAGGCUCUGUGGCCUCUGCUGGCACUGGGAUGUCAGACUCACUUGACUCCCUUGAUCUUACCUUUCCACUCCCUCACUCUUUCACCAUCUCUCUCCAUUAAUCUCUCCUCCUUUUCAUUGCCUCCUUAACUUUUUUUUUGAGACAGGGUCUCACUCAGUUGCCCAAACUGGAGUGCAGUGGUGCUAUCUCAGCUCACCGCAACCUCCACCUCCCAGGCUCAGGCAAUUCUCCUGCCUCAGCCUCCCAAGUAGCUGGGAUUACAGGCCCAUGCCACCAUGCUCGGUUAGUUUUUGUAUUUUUAGUAGAGACAGGGUUUCACCCCGUUGGCCAGGCUGGUCUUGAACUCCUGACCUCAAAUGAUCCACCCGCCUAGGCCUGCCAAAAUGCUGGGAUUACAGGCGAGAGCCACUGGGACCGGCCAUCUCUUUAACUUUUGAUUUUACUCUUGCAUUUUCUUUUUCUCACCUUUUUUUUUUCCUCUUUCAUUAUCUCUCACACUUUAUCUUAUUCUUCCUCAUUUUCUUCCUUCCUUCCUUCCUUCCUUCCUUCCUUCCUUCCUUUCUUCCUUCCUUCCUGCCUUCCUCCCUCCCUCCCUCCCUCUUUCUUUUCCUUCCUUCCUUCCUUCUCUCUCUCUUUUCUCCUUCCUCCCUCCCUUCCUUCCUUCCUUCCUUCCUUCCUUUCCUUCCUUUCCUUCCUUCCUUCCUUCCUUCCUUCCUUCCUUCCUUCCUUCCUUCCUUCCUUCUUUCUCCUUCCUUCUUUUCUUUUCUUCUCGCUCUGUUGCCCAGGCUGGAGUGGAGUGGCAUGAUCUUGGCUCACUGCAACUUGCACCUUCGGAAUUGGAGCGAUUUCCUACCUCAGACUCCCGAAUACCUGGGAUUAGAGGCGCACGCCACCACACCCGGCUAGUUUUUGUAUUUUUAGUAGAGAGCGGGUUUCACCAUGUUGGCCAGGCUGACUUGAACUCCUGAGCUCAAGUGAUCCACCCGCCUCAGCCUCCCAAAGUGCUGGGAUUAUAGACAUGAACCACUGCGCCUGGCCUCUUUCACAUUUUCUUUCAUGCCGCUUUCAUUCUCUUCUACCUCCUCUAUCUCACUUUUUUUUAAAACCAUGCUCAGUCUGCUAGAAAAAUGGUGGUUCUCCAUCUACUCAAGCCAUUUUGAUAGCUUUCAACAGGGAAACAUUUUAUUCUAUGUGGAUGCUAUGCAUUUGAUAAGCAUACACUCCUUUUCUCGCCUUGUUCCUUCUUUUUUUCACGUCCUAUAUUUCUUUUCUCUGUGAACCUCUUCUCUCCUUCUCUUUCUACAUCUUCCUUUCAGCUGCCUGAACAUCUCAAUUGUACCACGUUGGCCGAUCCUCACUGGUCUGAUAUUUUAUAUUAGGUGCGUCUGCUUUAACUAUUCCACUUAAAAAUUAAACCCAUCUGCCCCAAACUGAAAACAGCCUCUCCCCCACCAGGGACAAUAAAUAUUGAUGACUUGA
ensembl:lncRNA